CUGGUUUCAUGUGCUUGGCCAUGGGAUGAGGAAUCUAGGAAAAUCGAGAGGUUGCUCGCCGUUGGCUAUGGCUUGGUGCUCUAGAGCCACUGUGCCUGGAAUUCAACCCUGGAAUUCAACCAUGUUUUAGGUACAAAUGCGAGGUAUGUGAGCCACUAAGCCAUGUAUGUAGACUUAGUUUGGAGCUGGAAAAUUAGUUGAAAAUAGACGAAGUAGAAAAAGCUAUUAGAAGGCCAAUGGUAACUGCAGAGGGGACAGAGAUGAAGCAACAUAUUAUGGAUUAUUGUUGUAUUUUUGGCUUGCUUUUGGAUUGUUCGCGUUUAAAUUUCUGAGUUGUUGUUUAUUUGGUUCUCUUCAUAAUUUUUUUUUAUUUUUCAGUUUCUAGAUUUUGAUUUAGAUAGUUAAUUAAUUUUUGUAUUUUAAAAUAAAAAUUAACAUUUUAUUAAUAAAAAAUUAAAGG
rnacentral:misc_RNA from 1 species